ACACAUCCCCUCUCCUGUUAGAGAGAUGAUGAAGCUGCUUCUGCCUCACAGAAGGAUCAUAAAAACCUGUAUCCCAUAAGCUGAAGUCAGCCCAAUGAACUACACAAACAGCAAUAACCAAAACAAAGCAAGCAGGAAACGCGCAGCAUCUGUUAUGAUCGCACAACCACAAGACAGCUGUUUAAUCCCAACUGUUAGCAUAAGAUCAUUUGAGUGUUUGAAGAGCGAUCCCAUUUGGAUAUCCCCCCACUUAUUUAUUUAUUUCUUAGCUUUUCCAAGAGUGAGGCUUUCUCAGCUGGAGGACACGAUCUGCGCUCCUGGCUCUCUCCCCACUUUCACCCGCAGCUUCCGAAGGAGAGAGGUGUCACGCAAGAGGCUGGUGACAGCAGCAGCUAUUCAGAGCUGAUCAUGUUGUCUCUGAGUAAAAGGAGCAGGCCAUGGAAACAGGAGACAAAAUCACCAACAUCUUCAAUGGGAGAAAAUCCUUUAUCGGCUGAUUCAUUUCCAUGUUUUGUUUCUGCAGGAGACGGGAUAUCCUAGAGGAUUUCAGAAUCUCAACAGAAAUGUCAGCAGCAUCAGCAACAGAGUAAAGGUGCUUGAUAGCAAGACAGCAAAAGAAAUCGUGGAUGUCGGUUCAGCACCGUGAUGCUCGUACCGUCCACUGGAGCAGUUUGAAGAAAGACUUUCAUUAACAUACUUACACAGCAGUUGGCAUGCUUCCGGUGGCACAAUCAGGAUUCAAGGCAGAGCGCUUAAUGCCAAAGGGUAUUUCAUUGACACUCUCAGCACCAGAAUCUUCAAGGACUUCACCCCAGGCACAACGAUACUGAAGCAAAUGAACGUUUAGAGUGUUCUGAUAAAGAACGAUGGGUUUUUGUUGUUGUUGUUGUUUUGUUUUGUGUUUUUGUUUUGUUUUGUUUUUCCUUUUAAAUUAAACUCUCCAACUCAA
rnacentral:lncRNA from 1 species